rnacentral:rRNA from 1 species
CAGUUUUGGCGGAGCCAUCCUUGGGAUACCACCCUUGUAGUACUGGGACUCUAACCAUAGGCCAUGAAUCUGGUCUUGGGACACUGUCAGGUGGGCAGUUUGACUGGGGCGGUCGCCUCCCAAAAGGUAACGGAGGCGCGCAAAGGUUCUCUCAGUACGGUCGGAAAUCGUACGUAGAGUGUAAAGGCAAAAGAGGGCUUGAUUGCAAGACAUACAGGUCGAGCAAGGAUGAAAAUCGGACUUAGUGAUCCGGUGGUUCUGCGUGGAAGGGCCAUCGCUCAACGGAUAAAAGCUACCCUGGGGAUAACAGGCUUAUCUCCCCCAAGAGUCCACAUCGACGGGGAGGUUUGGCACCUCGAUGUCGGCUCAUCACAUCCUGGGGCUGUAGUAGGUCCCAAGGGUUGGGCUGUUCGCCCAUUAAAGUGGUACGCG